GAUCUUAAGGAUCAUUUAAUUCCAAUCCUUCUGCCAUGGGCAGGGACACCUUCCCCUAGCACAGGUUGCUCAGAGUCCAGCCUGGCCCUGAACAAUUCUGGAAUGGGCCAUCCACAGCUUCUCUGGGCAACCUGUUCCAGUGUCUCACCUCUUUCACAGUAAAGAACAUCUCCCUAGUUUCUAAUAUAAAACCAUUCUUCAGUUUAAGGUCAUUACCCCUCAGCCUAUCACUAAAUGGCCUUGUUAAAUGUGCCUCUCCAAUUUUAUUAUAAACCCCCUUUAGAAAGUGCUGUAAGGUCUCCCCAGAGCAUUCUCUUUUCCAGGCUGAAUAGCCCCAACUCUCUCAGCCUGUCUUCACAGGAGAGGUGCUCCAGCCCUGUGAUCAUCAUUCUAUGAACUAUUAGAAUUUAACAGCAAAAGAUAAUAUUUUUUCAUUCACGAAGAUGAUGAAACAUGAACUAUAUCCAGAAAAAUUUAAAAAAAUCUCCUUGUGUAGAUGAAAUUGGAGAAAAACAAAAACUCUCUGAAAAUUAUAUCUAGAUUUUUUUAAACCUAUUUCUUCACUACUGUUUUCAUCUACAACCCUAAGAACUCUAAGCAAGUCAAUGAAAACAUCCAGCACAAGAAAGCAGAAAUGGCCAAAGCAGUCCCCCAAACAGAGCUGCAGGAGCAAUUUGGUGAUGGGAAGAAAGUGUGCAGCCAUGAGGCUGUUUUCCAGUGUCAUCAUCAAAGCAAGAAAUUGUGGAGCUAAUGCAACGUUUGCUGCCAUCACAUUGUUCACGCUACUGUUUUAUGUUAUGUCUCGUCAUUCACCCUGUUGAUUCAGAUUAUAAACUCUCCAGAGGUAGGACCAUCUGGUAUUCUCUGUUUGUAAAGAGCCUAGCAAAUAAGAUCUUGUUCUGGGCUGGCACAUACAAUCUUAAAAAAAACCCCAAUAAUAAAUAGUUUCACCUCACCAGUCAAUUUCUUUUUUAAUUGCCAGUGGACACUUUGCUGUAAUAUAGAUAUUCAAAACAAAAGGGAAAAUAAAAAUACAAGAUGAGGAACAAAUUCAGAUUAUCCUAGUCACCUUUUAUCCCAUGAAGUCUCCUGUUUUCUAUUUACACAAUAAAUAACAGUUUUAAUACACUGGUUGGAUUAAAUCAGAUAUGAGAUUAUUUCCUCCGUCUUUUACAUACAGAGGUGAAGAUAUAACUAAAACCCAUAGAAUCCACACUAAAAAGUAGAGUUGUGAGUAAUCAAUUACAUCAUAAGGUUAGACAAUAAUAUAAUUUUGCUAAUUACAGCUUCGGGCCGAUUUUUCAGUGCAGCGGACAACAGCGUGUGUUUAUUCCCCAUAAUAACAGUAAUAGGAUACAUCAUUAACCCUACUUUACUCUUUCUUAAUUUUUAUAAUACCAAUAACAAAGAUCAUUAACCUCUGUUCUGUUUAACAUCUAAUCAGCCAUUUUAGUUAAAUAAAUAUAAUAUGAAACAUUAAACAUCACUUUGUUUAGCUAGAUUUCCUCUCAGGAGGGGAAAUUCUCCUAAUGUUAUAUUAAUACCAGUUGACUCAACAUGUGUUAAA